UACGUAGGGUGCGAGCGUUGUUCGGAAUCAUUGGGCGUAAAGCGUGAGUAGGUGGUUUGCUAAGUCGGGUGUGAAAUCCCUGGGCUCAACCCAGGAAGUGCAUUCGAAACUAGCUCACUUGAAGAUGGUAGAGGAAGGUGGAAUUCCAAGUGUAGAGGUGAAAUUCGUAGAUAUUUGGAGGAAUACCGGCGGCGAAGGCGGCCUUCUGGACCAUUCUUGACACUGAGACACGAAAGCGUGGGUAGCAAACAGG
rnacentral:rRNA from 1 species